GAUGAAGAACGUAGCAAAAUGCGAUAAGUAAUGUGAAUUGCAGAAUUCAGUGAAUCAUCGAAUCUUUGAACGCACAUUGCGCCCGCCAGUAUUCUGGCGGGCAUGCCUGUUCGAGCGUCAUUUCAACCCUCAAGCCCUCGGGUUUGGUGUUGGGGAUCGGCGAGCCUUUCUGGCAAGCCGGCCCCGAAAUCUAGUGGCGGUCUCGCUGCAGCCUCCAUUGCGUAGUAGUAAAACCCUCGCAACUGGAACGCGGCGCGGCCAAGCCGUUAAACCCCCAACUUCUGAAUGUUGACCUCGGAUCAGGUAGGAAUACCCGCUGAACUUAAGCAUACAAUAAGCGGAGGA
rnacentral:misc_RNA from 1 species